AAAGAAUGAAGGUUCCCCCAAAAUGGUCAACCCAUAUUCCUAUGGGGAAAGUGUUUUUGACAGAACCAAAUUCUUCCUCAUAAAAAGCAGUUCCAUUCUAACAUAUAGACAUAAUCGAGGCUCCAAAAUAACUGUAUCUUCAGUGCAAUUCCUUUAACAUGGGAAAAUUUUAAGGUAAAUGUUACCAGCAGCCAAUUAGUACAUUCCUCAGGGAAAAUAAGUUAACGAAGGACCCAUGAGUCAUCUAAUUGUAAGCAACUUCACUCCUUGGUGAAUCUUCCAUAAUAAGUUAGUUGCAAAAUGGGCCUGCAGGUCAAUGAAUAAUAUGAUAAAGUUGGUGGCAGAUAUCUGCCAAAAUUAUAAUCGGCAAUUUUACCAUAGUUCACUUAGCAGGGCCAAUUGUCUAUAGAGGCCAGUCAUAGUUUAGAAUACUUAUCUUUCUGUUAUCUAUGAUGGGGGCAUAUACAUCUAAAUUAUCCAAAACUGCUUUCAAGUAAUUAACAUACCAACUAAAAGGAAGUGAGGCUGGAAUUCAGAGUUUGAAGACUUAGAAUAACCAAGGAUAUUCUAAUUCUAAUACGGUGCUCUAUCAGAACAGUUCUAUAGACAAGCAUGUAAGAAAAAAAUCUAUUUUUUUUCAAAUUAUGUGCAAAUUAUCUUCUUAGCGAUAGCACUUCAUUUCUCCGUGGAAAUGGCCACUUGGAUGCCAGGUAAUUGGUGCAGAAUUAAGGUGGUGCUAAUGGUAAAAGAAGUGAAGCACUAGAAAGUGAAAAUUAGAAGAAUGUAGACCUUAAUUGGAUUAGAGGAUAGGGGAGAAUGGAGGGAAAGAAAAGUUAUUUUUAUCCUAUGAAAUGUUCGCAGCUGGAAGAAUGGUAUUACCAUUCACAUUAAAUAAAAAGGGAAAGCAACAAUAAUUUGUAGGGACUGGAGAAUUCUACAGCCAAAUGAGAGGCCUAACAGGCAGGGGAAAAAGAGGCAAUUAAGUAAGAUGGCGUUUUGGGAGUCAGAGCAUAAAUAAUGAAGUCUUUAUAUUUGUUUCCUUUUUUUCUGAUGUUUUAUUAUUUUAUUAUUCUGCACCAAUUACCUGGUAUCCUAGUGGCCAUUUCCACGGAGAAAUGAAGCGUUACCACUAAGAAGAUAAUUUGCACAUAAUUUUAGAAGAAAUAGAUUUUUCUUACAUGCUUGUCUAUAGAAUUGUUUUGAUAGAGUACUGUAUUAGAAUUAGAAUAUCCUUCAUUAUUCUAAGUCUUCAAACUUAAUUCCAGCCUCACUUCCUUUUAGUUUGUAUGUUAAUGACUUGAAACCAGUUUUGGAUAAUUUAGAUGUAUAUACCCCUAUCAUGCAUAUAUACAGCAGUGAACACCCACAUACCCACCACCUAUUUUAACAGGUUUUAUUUUUCUAAUUACAAAGGUAAUGCAUGUUCUCUGUAAGAAAAAGAAAAGCACUAUAAGAGAAAAAAAAUCACUUGUCAACUCACCAUCUAGUAUGUAUAUUGUUAAAAACUUUAGACAAAAUAAAUAUGUUGGAGUUCAUCUAAGCAAAAAAUGAUUCAUGAAUCAAGAGCAUUUGGAGCCAGAAGAGGUUCUGAGAACUCUAAGUAGUAGCAUGAGCAGUGAGCUUUUAUAGGCUGAAUACAGAAGCAAAGUAGAGAAAUCAUCUGAUUGGCUACAGCUAGAUGUUUUCCUUAUUGGGGCGUCAUAUGAUGAGCCAUUUGCCUUAUUUGGGUAUGGUCUGGUGAGAGGUCCCUAACCAUAUAAC
rnacentral:lncRNA from 1 species